AUUGAACGCUGGCGGCAGGCCUAACACAUGCAAGUCGAACGAGUGGCGGACGGGUGAGUAAUGGCUGGGAAACUGCCUGAUGGAGGGGGAUAACUACUGGAAACGGUAGCUAAUACCGCUAACCAUCGGAUGUGCCCAGAGGGGAUUAGCGAGGAGGUGGGGUAAAGGCUCACCUAGGCGACGAUCCCUAGCUGGUCUGAGAGGAUGACCAGCCACACUGGAACUGAGACACGGCCCAGACUCCUACGGGAGGCAGCAGUGGGGAAUAUUGCACAAUGGGCGCAAGCCUGAUGCAGCCAUGCCGCGUGUAUGAAGAAGGCCUUCGGGUUGUAAAGUACUUUCAGCGGGGAGGCGUUACCCGCAGAAGAAGCACCGGCUAACUCCGUGCCAGCCGCCGCGGUAAUUC
rnacentral:rRNA from 1 species